ensembl:misc_RNA
UUGGCUUGGUCAAAUCAGUGUUCAAACUAUCUCCUGCCCUUUCAAGAGGAUCUGGGGCUCUAGAAG